rnacentral:lncRNA from 1 species
AGGGUGGCCUUGAAGGAGGCCUGACACAUCCUGUCGUCGCACAGAUGACGCGUGCGUGCGUGCGUGCGUGACGCGUGCGUGCGUGCGUGCGUGAUUGCAACGAUGCGGAAGGCCUGGUGGCUGAUGGUCACUGUGAGUGUGUUUUCUUUGGCCCGUUUUAACGGGAGACGUUGUCUGAUGUUUUAAAAACGUACCUGGCACCCAGUAAAGCAUGAGACUGUGGCUGAAACGUAUCGUUCAGUUAGCUUGACACCGAACAGCGUGAGGACUUGCCAAGUCUUGUGGAAUGUCGGGGGCAGUUCAGGAAGGCCUGGCACGUGAGUCUACAGAGGAGAUUGUCCUGUUUUCACAGCGACGUUGCCUCUGUCACAUUCCAGCCCCAGAAAGGUCGCAAGGUGUCUGCCGGAGGAUCAGCAGGCCAGGGUCGGGUUCUGUCACAGCCACCAGCAGCAUCUGAAUGAGUGUGAUUUAUGGCGCCUUUCGAAUCCGCCUCUCCGCGAGACGCGAAGCUUCAUAACCAGCCAAACGCUCUGUGCAGCGGUGGGUGGGCUUCUGAAGCAGGGCUCCGUUGUUCCUACGGAAAGACCGAGGCGGCUUUCUUCUCGCAAUUUCUAAGGGCAUCGACUCUUCUUACCCUUAAGCAGGACGGAAAGAGCUGUGUCCUCGGAGCCGUGUUUGGUUGACUCUAGCCAGCAGAGCUCUCUCUGCGCAGGGCUUUUCUUUCCCCGGGUGGCUGUUUACAGCAAACAGGAGCUCUGCUGAACAGGCGGGCGGUCCUUUGCUGCAGGUGAGGGAAGCCACCGUCCCACAGCCUGGCGCGUGUCACCCGGGGGAGAACCCCCCCCCCCCCCCCCCCGAAAUCUAAGCCCCCGUCUGCUUGAUUCGUCUCCGAGGCCUUUGCUGUGAGACGCAGCGGUUCCCUGCGUCAGGCCUCCUCCUUCCUUCAGACUGAGACAUGGUGUGGAGGCUGCUCGAGGCACCUGCAAGGCCAGAGCUGAAGCACACACCAGGCAGGAGGGAGCCAACUCAUGAUGUGUUUACCAAAUGGAUCUUGAUUCUUAGAGCGGACUCUUCUGAGGUGCCAGGGGCCGUGAGGCAGGGAAGCUCAGGAAGAGCACGCAAGCUGGGUGACCUUGUCCAGGGUGGAGCUCACCCCGGGCAGCACACGCAAAGGCCCGCUCCUUCUGGGGGUGGUGGGACCGCUGUGGCCAGCGUGGGGGUCCAACCUGACACGUGCCUGGGGGGGCCUGGUGGAGUGUGACCUCUGCCCUGUAUGGAGUUUCCUUGCCUGUAAAUACGUGACAUGACUUCAAAUCUCUAGUCUUCCGACUGUCACAAGUCACCAAACGGAGGCAGUUAGACCUGGACUGGAAGCAGCUCGGCCCCAGGAACAGACGGGCUGCGGGCAGCUGUUCCUGGAGGGGGGACGUCAGCCCCCUGUUUGGCAGCACUGGACUGAGAGCGUCCUGCCAUCCGGGUCACCUUGGUCCUGUUCCCGGUGUCGAGGGGGGCGGCGCCGAACGUGAGAUAGAUGUUUAGGGCGCAGCUGGAGCACCUGCUGACCUCAGACCAGCCCUCCCUCCGCCCUGGUCCUGGGGGAGCCUCGGGUGGGAAGGGGCCCCGCCCUGCUCCUGCCUGGAGGCAUCCUGGUCCCCAGGCUGCAGCCAGUCUGCUCCUGGCACUCCGCACCCCUGCGACAGAGAGCCACUGGCCGUGACCCUGAUUUUCUUGGGUAACUUUACCCCCAAAUAAGUGCCGUGAGAGCGACGUAAUCGGACAGGUGGAGCUGGAAGCCAAGCAAGGAGUCGAGACCCCAAAUCUUCUCUGAACCUGCUCUCCCACCCGGGGAACCCCAUCCCCGCCCCUCCUUGUCCUGGACCCGGGGUGGGGGGCGGAGGAGGAGCAGUGGGCGGAGCAAAUGAGGAGCCGCUGCAGUGCGAGGGGGGCAUUUUCUGCAGAACGAGCCUGUUACUCCUAAUGUCCCCCAAACCUGGAGAAAGCGGGAUUUGUGUUUUUUCACAUGCAAGAUUCAGGAAGUUGGGGGGGGGGAGACGAGCGGGGGUGCUUGGAGAGAGGAAGCCUUCCCCCUUAUAUCCUUGCUGUCACCCCCUUGGCCCUCACCAUGUGACCUGAGAGCUGGGUCUCCAGCUUUCCAGCGGCUCAGGUCACAGCAGACACGGGGGCCGCCUCGGGGGCUGUCCCACAGCCACGGUGAUCCACGCGGAGCGCCUGAAACCCAGGCAGGAGGGGCACUCAGGCUGCACCCAGUCUCGCCCUGCCCUGCGCAGUUGUAUUCCUUUGACGAAUCAUGUCUGAGAAGUCUGCUCAGGGCUCCUGCACUUGGCUGUCCACCCUGAGGCCAGGCGCCUUUGCAGACAGAAGGGCAGCUUGAUGAGGGCGUUACAGACGGUCCGGUGCCAGCUCGGGCCUCUCUGGAGAGUGUCUUCUUCCCUCAGCUCACAAACUCUUCGGCUGCCCCUAAUGCUGUGGGUGCCAGCUGCUCUCUGAGUAGAUGCCCCCGUUAGGGAUCUGGGGGAGGGCAAAGGGGAAUUUAUGUGUCAGCGUGGCUGGAUCACAGGACCCAGAUAGCUGGUUAAACAUUGGUCCGGAUGUUGCUGGGGCAGCAUCUUUAGAUCAGAUUUACAUUUAAGUCAGUAGACUUGGCGUUCCCGUCGUGGCACAGUGGUUAAUAAAUCCGACUAGGAACCAUGAGGUUGCGGGUUCAGUCCCUGGCCUUGCUCAGUGGGUUAAGGAUCCAGCGUUGCCGUGAGCUGGGGUGCAGGUCACAGACGCAGCUCAGAUCUGGCGUUGCUAUGGCUCUGGCGUAGGCUGGCGGCUACAGCUCCAAUUAGACCCCUAGCCUGGGAAUCUCCGUAUGCCGAGGGUGCGGCCCUAGGAAAUACGAAACAAAACCAAAAAUAACCAUUUAAGUCUUUGAGUAAAGCUGAUGGCCAUUGCAUGGUGGGCCAUGCCCAAUCAGUUGAAGGGCUUUAAGAGAACCGAUGUAAGGCUUCCUGAGGAAGAGGGAAUUCUGACUCCAGACACCUUCAGACUCCAGCUGCAACUUCAGCUCUCUGCUGGGGCUCCAGCCUCCAGCUUGCCCUGCAGAUUUCAGACUUAUCAGCCCAUAAUUACUUGAACUACUUCCUUAAACUCAAUCCCUCUCUUUCCCUCCCUCUCCCUCCGUCCCCCUGUCUCCCUAUCUCUCUAUGGCUCUCUCUGUACCGCACAGAUUGCCACCCACCAAAGAGGACGCCUCCAUUAACAGGAAGGCCUGGUGGAGUUCCCAUCGUGGCAUGGUGGAAACGAACCUGACUAGGAACCAGGAAGGCUGUGGGUUCAAUCCCUGGCCUCACUCAGUGGGUUAAGGAUCCCGCGUUGCCGUGAGCUGUGGUGUAGGUCGCAGACAAGGCUCGGAUCUGGAUGGCUAUGGCUGUGGUGUAGGCUGGCAGCUGAUUUGACCGAUUAGACCCCUAGC